rnacentral:tRNA from 1 species
AGCUCAGUGGUAGAGUGCUUGCCUAGCAAGCAUGAGGCCCUGGGUUCCAUCCCCUG